rnacentral:lncRNA from 1 species
CUUGCCCUUUCCAGGAUUUUUUAGGGGCUUUAUUAUUGGUUUCAGUGUCUUGAAGGAAGGAAACUACCUUUCGAAUGAAAUCGGGGAAGGGAAUGAUGUCUGUUCUUGGCUCCUGUGAGAUGGGAUGGAUUUUAGUUGUCAGCAAAGGAGAGAGAGAAGGAGACUGCAGAGAGCAGAGGUGCAAGUGAGUGUUGACAGUGACUCCUGCCCUGUAGGUGAGAUGUCCUUGAGAUGUUCCUUCUGAUGCCAGGGCUGGAGGAAAUAGCUGAAUCAAGUGGCAGCUGAUGGCCCUGGCUCUGCCAUGUAGCUAUUUAAGGAACUGCGAUCAUGGGGAAAGCUUCCUGCAUGGCUAAUGGAUCAAAUUCGCUUCUAUCUGCUGGUGAGAGAGAAUGUUGGGAAAAAAUCAGUGAGUGAAUUGGCAAGAAAUGGUGUUGUGAGCUGGACUAUAAUGAGUAUUGAGAAUACAAGCAGACGAAACAUAUUUAACUUUGAAGUCCCUUCUUCAGAAGGUAGAGCUUCUCUUCCUUUGCUUAUCCCGUUAUUUCCCUAA